AAGACGUGGUGAGAAAGUCUCAGAAGCAGAGAACAGUCCAAGAUAGUUGUAGCGAAAAGGAGCAAUGGGGAAGCAAGACGUUGGGAGGCAGAAUGGAUAGAUUUGAAGGUCUUAGGAUGUUAAAGCCCAGACAUCCUCUGAGCAACAGAGAGCCCUUGAUAUAUUUUAAAGUAGCCGUGUGACAUCAGAUUUUUAAAAAGUACUGGCGUUAAUGUGUUGCCUUUUAGCAAUUCUGAGAUCCAAACUGAAGAGUGUAAGAGCUAGAAGUGGAGCAGAGAACAGCAGUUGUUGUAGGAAGGUGAGCCCCAGUCACAGAAGCUGUCACUUGGGUUGAUAGGUGCUGGUAGCGCAGCUGGGUAGGACUCAGAAAGAGAGGUACGUGAAAUUGAACCACAUGGUUUGCAUUCUGAUGACUGGUCUUCUGAGGCUUUCAUUGUCCCUGAUUCUGUGUGGACGGAGCUCAGUAUCGGCCCUCUAAACACAGGGAUACUAAGUAGAAUCUGAAAGAAAUGCUUCCCAGGUAUAUUCCGAAGAAGAGAAAGAAUCCUGGUUUUCUAUAAACUAAAUCCAAAACUUAAACCAACAUGGUCAGAUGUUUUCACUCUCUGAAAUAGUUCCCAGCCAUUUCACAACUUCAUGUAGCAUCAGAUGCAUAAACUGUGUCAAGCAACAUGAUUUCUGUUGAAUGUCAUUUUAAAACAGCAAAUGACAAUAUCAAGGAAGUGGUGAAUCGAAAACCUUUUCUCCCUCCUUUACCAUGAAAAUGUUAACUAAAAGCAAAUGUGCUUCAAUGGGUGGACUUCAUUUAGCUCAUUAAGCUUGUGGUUUCUUGUAUGUGUGCUUAAAGCUGGAUGCUUACACUAGAGCCAAAUUCCAGUCACAUCUGAAGGCUUACUGUUCCUUCUCAGAAAGAAGUACAAUACAGUAGAGCCUGCUGACCAUCUUCCUGUGGACUUGGGGAAGUGUGCUUUGAGAAUAUCUUCCAGCAAGUUUGGCAAUGAUGACCUCAGUCAAAACCUAGAGAAUUUCCCAUCAGCUCUGCACCCUGGCCAUCUAUGUUGAAUUAAGUAAUUUCUCCUAAAAGGAUAUGCUGAUCAUCGUAGGAAACUUGAAAUGGUGUAGUCCUUAGAAUUCAGUUCUGUCAUUCCCCCCUGUUGAGUAUGACAUUAAAUCAAUAAAGAAAGGAAUUGUAAGAAAUUUCCCUUUCAUGUUCAUUAACAUGAGAGAUAAGUAAUUUUCCAUCAUUUUAAUGUACAGUCUGCAGAUGGGAGAGCUGUAAGACCAUGGACACAUCUUUCAGUUUCUUCAUCUGAAACCGAGACAUGAGAAUAGUUAACGCUUUAUUGUAAACAUGCACUUCUUGUACAUACAGUCCCAGCAUACACAUUCCAGGGCUGUUAUGGAAGCUUCAUAGUUCUGAGACCUGGAUUCCUUGUGUCUUGUUACUCUGCCAUGCUGAAUGCACAGCUUCCAUCAUGUGCUUAAAAUGCUGCCCCAGCCCCUGCCAUCACAUCCACAUUACCAGCCAAUGAGAAGAAGGAAAGGGCCAAGGGGAGGACACACUGUUCCUAGAAAGGCAUGAUCUAAAAGUGACACACAACUUCCACUCAUACCCUUUUGGCUAGAACAUAGUCAUAUGGUCACACUUAGCUGUGAGAUGGGUGUGAGGUGACUGUCAUGUCACGGAGCUGUCCUGCAUACUGCUUCAUACAGAAGGAGGGAAGGGGGUAUCGACAACAUCUGAGAUCCUUCCCAGAUUUAAAAUAAAUGACAGUAAGUACAAGUUUCAGGUCUAAUUACCCAUUAACCUGUGAAAAAAUUCAGACAAUAUCCCUGUCCUGGAGGUGCAUGUUUGAAGGUCCUGAUGGCAGAGGAAGCAGGCAGAGAAAAACCUCGUAGAGGGUGACAUGGUAAAGCCCAGAAAGUAGCCUCCUGGAGUGCAUUCUUUAGGUGGAAAAAACUGAUUACUUUCCCUCAAAAGGAGAAAAUGAGAAACUGAUUUGUUCCUCUUUUUACUACCCUUAUAGCUCAACAAGAAACAAAUGAACUGGGACCUUCAUUUCUUAGUCCUUUUCCUAUCACAGUUUUGAUUUGCUUCAAAAUCAAAAUCAAGUUAGUUCCUCUUGAAUACAAAUUGCUAAUUCCCUCCCUUGCAUAGCCCAGGAUACAGCCGUAGCAAGGGGGCAUUGUAAACACAGACGUACGUUAGGUCUGAUGUUUGAAUUAGGUAGAGCUACAUGUUACAACCUUUCAUGUGGAAGAAUCCUGCAAAGUUCCUUUGAACAGUGUGGUCGUCACCGGGGAUGUUCACCAAAUCUACUCCUGCUGAGUUGAUGGGACACUGCUUUGCCCCAGGCAAAUUCCUCCUCCAUACAGGGUGCCGUCAUCUUUAGCUUAUCAGCAUAUUAUUGUCACAACAUGUUGGGAGGCUCAUCUGUUGAGCCUCUUACAGCAAGGUAACUGAUUGAGUGAAACCCCCAGCCCUUCUGCAGGAUCCCACCCGCAGAUCUCACCAGAUGGAGAUACUGAGG